AGUCGAACGGACUUACAUUGAAGCCUAGCGAUAUGUAAGUUAGUGGCGGACGGGUGAGUAACGCGUGGGUAACCUGCCUUGUACUGGGGGACAACAGUUGGAAACGACUGCUAAUACCGCAUAAGCGCACAGCUUCGCAUGAAGCAGUGUGAAAAACUCCGGUGGUACAAGAUGGACCCGCGUCUGAUUAGCUGGUUGGUGAGGUAACGGCCCACCAAGGCGACGAUCAGUAGCCGGCCUGAGAGGGUGAACGGCCACAUUGGGACUGAGACACGGCCCAAACUCCUACGGGAGGCAGCAGUGGGGAAUAUUGCACAAUGGGGGAAACCCUGAUGCAGCAACGCCGCGUGAGUGAAGAAGUAUUUCGGUAUGUAAAGCUCUAUCAGCAGGAAAGAAAAUGACGGUACCUGACUAAGAAGCCCCGGCUAACUACGUGCCAGCAGCCGCGGUAAUACGUAGGGGGCAAGCGUUAUCCGGAUUUACUGGGUGUAAAGGGAGCGUAGACGGUUUUGCAAGUCUGAAGUGAAAGCCCGGGGCUUAACCCCGGGACUGCUUUGGAAACUGUAGGACUAGAGUGCAGGAGAGGUAAGUGGGAUUCCUAGUGUAGCGGUGAAAUGCG
rnacentral:rRNA from 1 species